rnacentral:lncRNA from 1 species
GAACCUCAUCCAAAGCCGUAACCGCUUUGCUUGUUCCACUGCUUGCUUAACUUCUCCCACUGGAGGCUGAAUUCGGGGAUGACCGGAACUGGCGUCCGUGCGCCCCCACUGUUCUCGCAACGCCCCGCUGGCCCGGCCCGUGCACGCGACCACGUGGCCCUGACACAUCACAGAUCCCUGGGGCCUGAGGCCCCAUCAGCCGCCUGGACCAUCACUUGGCGGGUCCCAUCCUGUCUGCACUGGUUCCAACGUCCACAUCCCAAACCUCCCGCCAUCAUCCCGGGGCAACCUCUGUCCCAGCUUCUAGAAGCCACAGGCAUAGCUGGGAAGCCCCUGCCUGGGGCUUUGCCACCCCCAUGAGGUGGAGAAGAGAGGCGAGAAAACACAGGGUGCUGGGCAUUGACGGUGGACGAGGGGGACUGAAGACCCCAGAGAUGAUGCAGAUGCCGACAAAGCAGCGGAGAUGUCCCAGGAGCUGUUUCAAACUCGAGGCGGAGAGAGCAGGGCCUUGGGAUGGAGUCGGGCAUCGGGUGCACAAGCGGCCGGCUUCCCGCUCCCGAGGAUGGGAGCCCUGCCGCACGCGCCCGAACCUGCAGGGCGAAUGGGCCCCAUGAAGAUCCCCGAGGAGCAGCCGCUGGAGGACGGCAUCGCCCCAAAGCUCCACGUCUUGAUUCGGGUCCGGGUCGGCCCAGGGACGCAGGGCUCAAAGCUCAGUGCCCGGGGUCUACAUGUCAUCGCCCAUCGGGGGAAAGCCCUGGGAAGCCGUGAGAGGGAAGCAGGUGGAGGAGGCACGCGCACCCCAAGUCCACGCUUGCAGGGAGCACAGCGCACGCACACCAGUAGCCGUCGAAGCAGGAUUGGGACGACGGAACAUCCUCGCAAAUGCUCAGCAGCCGCGAGCACACACACGAACAGACUCUACAGACAAAGGGCCAAGCGCUGGCACGUGGGCAACCGCAAGGCUGCCAUUCCGGGAGCUGUGGGCAGGGCCCCGGAGGCCACGCUGGCUGGGCCGAGAACCAGGCCCGGCAUCACCGACACGCUCACUGGACAUGCGGCCCCAGCCUUCGGAAUCGGAGCGGACCCCGGGGUUAGCUGUCCGCCCGUUCACGUCUGCAAAGCAUCCCCCUAGACCCCCGUUUAUCCGUCUUCUGCAACCCGGGGGCCCCUCAUGAUCCACGUGAGAUGAUCGCUUCCUCCUCUGACGUUUAAAAUCGUUGCAAGAAUUGAAUACGAGUGAAAGCAAUGCUGGUUCUGAAGCUGUUUCUCCCACUGAGUGCAAGCGUCCGCUCUGGCUCCUCACCCGGCACGUUGAAAGCGGCGCCACCUCCCCAACUCCAGGGGUCAAGGCCGAGGCUACGGCAAGCCCCCCAGGUGGAGAAUGAAUUAUCUAAAGAGCCUCAACCUCCCGGGUUGGGGGGGCGGGAGGAGGCAGGGGCAAUGCAUGGCCCCGGGGUGGAGGGGGGCAGUCCGAGAAGCCCCGGCUUCUGCACGGACCCCUCCAGAGGCAGGAAGCAGGGAGCCCCAUUCCAGGGACAGGCAGGUGUCAGCAACGACUCAAAGCCCGCCGCCCGGUCAUGUCGGUCUCACUGCCCGCGUGCGGCCCCCGAUGGCAGCUCUGUAGCCCUUUCCCGGGCCCCUGACAACAGCCAUCGCUUCCCCCGAGGGCCUCCUUGCUCCAAGCAAACACCCCAAAGUCCUUCCGUGUCCAUCUGGCAACAUGAACGGGAUAUCCCUUCGGAGUCCUACUCGCUCUCCCUCGUAAAAACCCGCAUCUGUCACUGUCCCUCUACGGACACGGCCGGGAGGGAACAUGCUUAAGCUCUGGGCUUUUCUUUUACACCCAACUUUGUCUCCACUGAAAAAUGCAUUCUUAGGGGGCACCCGGGUGGUUCAGCGGUUUAGCGCCACCUUCGACCCAGGUCAUGACCCUGGAGUCCCGGGAUCCAGUCCCGCGCCGGGCUCCCGGCAUGGAGCCUGCUUCUCCCUCUGCCUGUGUCUCUGCCUCUCUCUCUCUCUCAUGAAUAAAAAAAUAAAAUAUUUUUUAAAAAUGCA